UAAAUAAAAGAAAGUUUACACAUCGAUGUUCUUAUCGAUUCAAUUUUAGAUGAUAUAAAAGGAAAAGAAUGAGGAAUAGAAAGAGGAUGUUAGAGCACGGAUGAGUCGAAGAAGAGUCUGACCACAUAUAGAAGAAAAGAUAUUGGCUAUAUGCAUGAAUACAGUGUGUCUUCUUUGAGACAAGGCAAACAAUCAACGAUGACAAACAAUCAUAAAGGGAAUAAGAAUUCAAUUUUCUUCAGACUUCAGCCAGAAUUGAAGAUUUUUGAUGAAGAUGACGAAGGAUAAAGAUCAAUUAUCAUUUCAUUGGAACUUCGAAGACAAGAUGGCUUGAAAAAUAUGAUAUAAAAGGAAAAGAAUGAGGAAUAGAAAGAGGAUGUUAGAGCACGGAUGAGUCGAAGAAGAGUCUGACCACAUAUAGAAGAAAAGAUAUUGGCUAUAUGCAUGAAUACAGUGUGUCUUCUUUGAGACAAGGCAAACAAUCAACGAUGACAAACAAUCAUAAAGGGAAUAAGAAUUCAAUUUUCUUCAGACUUCAGCCAGAAUUGAAGAUUUUUGAUGAAGAUGACGAAGGAUAAAGAUCAAUUAUCAUUUCAUUGGAACUUCGAAGACAAGAUGGCUUGAAAAAUAUGAUAUAAAAGGAAAAGAAUGAGGAAUAGAAAGAGGAUGUUAGAGCACGGAUGAGUCGAAGAAGAGUCUGACCACAUAUAGAAGAAAAGAUAUUGGCUAUAUGCAUGAAUACAGUGUGUCUUCUUUGAGACAAGGCAAACAAUCAACGAUGACAAACAAUCAUAAAGGGAAUAAGAAUUCAAUUUUCUUCAGACUUCAGCCAGAAUUGAAGAUUUUUGAUGAAGAUGACGAAGGAUAAAGAUCAAUUAUCAUUUCAUUGGAACUUCGAAGACAAGAUGGCUUGAAAAAUAUGAUAUAAAAGGAAAAGAAUGAGGAAUAGAAAGAGGAUGUUAGAGCACGGAUGAGUCGAAGAAGAGUCUGACCACAUAUAGAAGAAAAGAUAUUGGCUAUAUGCAUGAAUACAGUGUGUCUUCUUUGAGACAAGGCAAACAAUCAACGAUGACAAACAAUCAUAAAGGGAAUAAGAAUUCAAUUUUCUUCAGACUUCAGCCAGAAUUGAAGAUUUUUGAUGAAGAUGACGAAGGAUAAAGAUCAAUUAUCAUUUCAUUGGAACUUCGAAGACAAGAUGGCUUGAAAAAUAAAAUUGGUGGUUCGUUAUUGUAUUAUAUUCUGUAUGUUCAAUUUGUCGAAUUGUUGUUGAGCAUAUUCUCUUUCUGUUUUGAAAUUCGAUACAUCGAAUUAGUUACGCUAAAUUUCAUUCUACUGUUGACAUUCGUGACGAUUAGAAUUUCUUCAAGUGUGCUUUAUCUAUUUGGUUGGAAAAAAUUUUCAAUAUGGAUGUCAUGAUAUAUUUUACAUAAAGAAAAAAAAAAUAUAAAUAAAUAUUUAAAAUAUAAAUAAUAUAAAUAAAUAAAUAUUUUUAUUGUAAAAAAUGAUGAUAUAAAAGGAAAAGAAUGAGGAAUAGAAAGAGGAUGUUAGAGCACGGAUGAGUCGAAGAAGAGUCUGACCACAUAUAGAAGAAAAGAUAUUGGCUAUAUGCAUGAAUACAGUGUGUCUUCUUUGAGACAAGGCAAACAAUCAACGAUGACAAACAAUCAUAAAGGGAAUAAGAAUUCAAUUUUCUUCAGACUUCAGCCAGAAUUGAAGAUUUUUGAUGAAGAUGACGAAGGAUAAAGAUCAAUUAUCAUUUCAUUGGAACUUCGAAGACAAGAUGGCUUGAAAAAUAUGAUAUAAAAGGAAAAGAAUGAGGAAUAGAAAGAGGAUGUUAGAGCACGGAUGAGUCGAAGAAGAGUCUGACCACAUAUAGAAGAAAAGAUAUUGGCUAUAUGCAUGAAUACAGUGUGUCUUCUUUGAGACAAGGCAAACAAUCAACGAUGACAAACAAUCAUAAAGGGAAUAAGAAUUCAAUUUUCUUCAGACUUCAGCCAGAAUUGAAGAUUUUUGAUGAAGAUGACGAAGGAUAAAGAUCAAUUAUCAUUUCAUUGGAACUUCGAAGACAAGAUGGCUUGAAAAAUAUGAUAUAAAAGGAAAAGAAUGAGGAAUAGAAAGAGGAUGUUAGAGCACGGAUGAGUCGAAGAAGAGUCUGACCACAUAUAGAAGAAAAGAUAUUGGCUAUAUGCAUGAAUACAGUGUGUCUUCUUUGAGACAAGGCAAACAAUCAACGAUGACAAACAAUCAUAAAGGGAAUAAGAAUUCAAUUUUCUUCAGACUUCAGCCAGAAUUGAAGAUUUUUGAUGAAGAUGACGAAGGAUAAAGAUCAAUUAUCAUUUCAUUGGAACUUCGAAGACAAGAUGGCUUGAAAAAUAUGAUAUAAAAGGAAAAGAAUGAGGAAUAGAAAGAGGAUGUUAGAGCACGGAUGAGUCGAAGAAGAGUCUGACCACAUAUAGAAGAAAAGAUAUUGGCUAUAUGCAUGAAUACAGUGUGUCUUCUUUGAGACAAGGCAAACAAUCAACGAUGACAAACAAUCAUAAAGGGAAUAAGAAUUCAAUUUUCUUCAGACUUCAGCCAGAAUUGAAGAUUUUUGAUGAAGAUGACGAAGGAUAAAGAUCAAUUAUCAUUUCAUUGGAACUUCGAAGACAAGAUGGCUUGAAAAAUAAAAUUGGUGGUUCGUUAUUGUAUUAUAUUCUGUAUGUUCAAUUUGUCGAAUUGUUGUUGAGCAUAUUCUCUUUCUGUUUUGAAAUUCGAUACAUCGAAUUAGUUACGCUAAAUUUCAUUCUACUGUUGACAUUCGUGACGAUUAGAAUUUCUUCAAGUGUGCUUUAUCUAUUUGGUUGGAAAAAAUUUUCAAUAUGGAUGUCAUGAUAUAUUUUACAUAAAGAAAAAAAAAAUAUAAAUAAAUAUUUAAAAUAUAAAUAAUAUAAAUAAAUAAAUAUUUUUAUUGUAAAAAAUGUUCUCAUCGAGUAAAUCCCAUGAACCAUAAUGUCAUUGAUGGCAGAUUCUACGCAUCUAAUGGUGAGUCGCAUGUAUUUUUGUUAUUCCGAUCAUUCAAUCAUGUCGUAGGAUGAGAGAUCCAAAUCGAUAUGAAUGUUAUAUAUGUAGAAUUUUGCACAAAUACAGUGAUCAUGGGUAUUUAUUAUACCCAUGAGUAGUAACAGUUUCUUUUUAUUAUUAGCUCAGGUUAGGUCUUUUUAUGUAUUUUCGAAUAUUAAUAAUUUUUCAAAUUGUUUGAUAUUAAAUUAUUGUUAUCUUUAAUUAAACAUUAAGAUUAUUAAGAAUAAUCUUAAUUAAAUGUCAAAUAUUUAAAUAAUAUGCAUUUAUAUUAUAAAUUAGACGAUUUAGAUAUAUAUUAUA